GCCGCCAUGUUUGAGAAGGGCAAAGCAAUUCUGGUUUAGUGGGAGACGUGGCUCAAGGAGAGGCUUUCUGUGUCCAAGGUUUCUGGCUGGCACGAGAGCCGCCGAGUAAAAAGUUAGGGGUAGGGCUUGGAGAUGUUACGCAGCGUUGCGUUUCGACGACUGAUAGAUGCUGCCGCAGUUAAAUACCUCGAAUAAGACGAAUUCACUACUUGGGGGGGAGGGUAUGGCAUGGAUGCCUUUUUAUCACCAUUUCCUACGCCCCCCGGCAUUCCUUUUAUCUCAUGAAACGAGAAAGAUUUUAAUCUUUUAACAGGCUCACUCCUUCACACAAAAAAUAGCAUCUAUAAUGUGUUACUAAAUGUGGUGUUGGGCUCAUCUUUAACUCGGUAGCACAAUUUAUGUCCUAUAUGAUCAAUAAAGGGACUUUGCAGAAGUGGAAUGUGAUUGGAAGGAUCUGCAUACUAAAACUACCACAAUCUGCUUCCCAGAUCUCUGCACUGAACAAGCAACAGCGAGCCACAGCACCAAAUGUAUUCUCUCCUACCAAAGCAGGACAUUUUUUUAAACAUAUAAAAUAUGGGAAAAUUUUCCCCAGCCCUCACAAAUUCCACCCCACCCAUAAACGUAAUAUCAACCCACCCUUUUAAUUCUGUUUGGAUUUGGGGGGAAACAAAUGCAGGUUUAAAUGCAGCUCGCUUUCUCUUCUAGGCUUGUCAUUUAGGGCUUGCUGUUCUGCUUUAAGCAAAACCUGUACCUAUGUAACCCCUAUGGCUUAAUUAGACCUGUUACUUUAAGGAGGUUCAAUGUUUUCAAGCUCUUGUGUGCAGAUGGGUGGGGAGGAACGGUGGCCUUUGGAAGCCAUUUUGACUAAGAGCUGCAAGAAAGGGAUUCAGGACAGGCCUGGCCUAUCGAGUUAUUUCAAGGGGUGAGUCCCCCUUACAUUCUUGUUGUUAUUAUCUAGGGGGUCACUCAAAUCCAUAAGAAGAGAGGAGCAUACUUAAAAUAAAUAUACACCUGGUAUAAUAAACCCACCUUUUCCUGCUGGCUUCUGGUGGCAGAUGGGUUACGCAAACUCGCCAGAAGGAGAUCUUACUACACCAGUUUCAUGUGACAGACAAGAACAAUGAACAGCAGAGAGAACCGGGAACAGUUGGGACUGGAUCUUCCUGGCUCCCUCCAAUAAGAAAAACAGUAACUACAUUAUGACUUCCUCCAGGAAUCCUUCCACGUUCUGAGCUGGAUCCCCUUUGCGUCGUCAUGCUUAUCAGUCUUUGGUAUGGACACUUUGGUGUGCCAGUGAGGAGGGGGAGGAAGAGGAGCAGAGGUGACCAAGUAGGAAAGGAGGAGGAAAGUCUCAGAAGACGGACGUACUCGCUUGCUAUCAUCUGAGCAGGACAAAAAGGAAGAAAAGUAACGGUCCACAGAGGGGAAAUUUGUCUUGGGUGAUGGCACCGUUUUCUGGAAGGACAACUGCUGCAGGGCAAGAAAGAAAGAAGAAGGGUUAGUUAAGAUGACAAGAUAGAUGCACAGACUUGUGCAAAAUAAACCAAUUGCAGCAGACUGGAAAAUACCGGAUGAAAGUGUGAAUUAAUUUUGGGACAGAUUGAGGCAUGUGCUUACAUGGCUACCUGCUGCUCAAGCAACAAUACUAACUGACCAUUCAUGGAGAGAAGUAGGUUGUUAAUAAGCUCACGGGG